AUUACCUAAUAUACUACCAUCUCAAGAACUACAGUACCUCCUCAUGUAUACUCCAAAUGCUAUUAUGCUUGGGCUGUACUUUGUUAGAUUAAUAUCUCACAUUAAAAUGCGCUCUUUCAUCAUAUCAUACAUAGGCCACCAAAUCACAGAUGAUUUAAUCAGACCUACAUACAGGGUAUAUCACAUUGCACAUGGUCUCCACCUACAUACUGCUGUAUAGGAGUUUGACUGAAAGGGGGAUGAAGGAGGGCUUAUAUCUGUUCAGCUUACACUGAGGAACUCUGUUGCGUCUGCCUGCGGGGAGAAGCUGAAACUCUGGGUGGUGUACAUGGGAGGGGAAAUUAUUUUCUUGUAGUGUUUGAUUGUUUGUUCAAAAACAGACUACAGUGACGGGUGCUACCUCACUCCCAUCAUCUGUAUGGCUGUCUGGACCAGGCGAUUGAUUUGUGAUUUUAAGGUAACUGACAAGUUGCCAAACCAAGCUGAAAUACCAUAGAAUGCUCUUUAUAACAGCCUGGUAGAAUAGGAGCAUGACCUUCUGUUUGACUCCAAAAAUCUGGAACCUACACAGGAAAUAAAGGCGUUGUUGGAUCCUAGAACAUUUGUAAUGUUCACAUUAUAGACCACCACAGGUGAGUGGUCACCAACAGAUUUGGGAUGAAAAACAAUUUAAUUAGCUUUUAUAAACAUCCUUAGAAUGCGCUGGCUAGAGAACGUCUCAGGCUCUGAGGUUUGUAUGUCCAUGCAGAAGAUACAAAUGAUUUAAUUCAAUAUAGUACGUUCUGAUUAAUAGCCUAUGUAUGGCUGUUUUCCCUUUAACUGUCUACAUAAAACGUGUAUGUUAUUGUGGGUCACUCACUGCAAAUGCACAAUGUUGUUACGUGAUGGAAAAGACUGCUCCGUGACUUUAGUGGCCCAUACACGGGGGAAGGCUUGUGUUCAGUGGUAAGCAAGGCGGCAUUCAACAUGUUUUCAUCCUGCAUGGAUCAUUGUCAACUGCAACACUUUUCCAUUCAUCAGAAGAGUUACACAAUUGUGUAUCUCUUCCUUGCAGGAUUAAUGUGCUGGCCACUCACUUCUCCUCCUGCACACACUCAGACAUGGUGUGGCAGAGGGUGUGCUAGAAGCUGCUGGAGAAUGUCCCUGGAGUUCUGGCUGGAGAGUGCUUACUGGGCUGCCAGUGAUGGCUGCCAACAUGUAAGGGAAGUGGAGAUCGCAUGAGGUUAUAAAAAGGUGUCAAACGGUCUGUGUCUUUGUCCAAUCUUUUUCUCUCAUAAUGUAAGUGUUAUUUCUUCCUCUAGGUCUGACAGAGGUCCAGGGUGAUGGGGAACCUGGUGUUGAAGAACAAAAUGGCCCGGUUUGUCGUCGCCCAUAAACUGCUGCUGCUCCAAUACAAUAAUGAGAUAGGUGUUUUGAGGAUUCUUCUAGGGUACCUGGCUCAGGACAGGGAGAGACCACUACUUAUACAGGCGCUGCGAGCAACCCCCUCUGGAGCAGCAGCAUAGUUUGGGACUACUGACUGAUGCAGAGGUACAGGAGCUACGCUCAGGAACAUCCCCAACUGUAGAACCUUUUGAGGAUCUGAGGACCCAUGCCAAAUCUUUUCAGUCUCCUGAAGGGGAAUAGGUUUUGUCGUACCCUAUUCACGACUGUCUUGGUGUGCGUGGACCAUGUUAGUUUGUAUUGUGUCACACGACCAGAGCUGUUCACACUAUUUUCUGACCUGUCCACCUCCGGGUUGUAUUCAUUUGAGAAAUUAAAAAAAUAAUAAUAUGAAAACAACUGAGCUGGGAAUUGUAGGCUACAUGGGGCGACAGGUAGAGCGUUGGGCCAGUGUCCGAAAGGUUGCUGGAUCGAAUCCCCGAGCUGAUGAGGUAAAAAUCUGUUGUUCUGCCCCUG